rnacentral:rRNA from 1 species
UUAUGCUGUUAUCCCUAAGGUAAUUAAUUUUAAUAGUUAAAAUUUUUAGAUUUAAAAUUCAUUUAUAAAUGUAUAUUAAAAAAAAUUUUAUUUAAUGUUUUUAUUGCCCCAAUAAAAUUAAAUAUUAUAAUAUUUAUUAUUUUUUAUAUAAAAUUUAUAAUUUUUAAUAAAAUUCUAUAGGGUCUUAUUGUCUAUUAAAUUUAUUUAAGUUUUUUUACUUAAAUAAUAAAUUAAAUUUAUUUUAUUAAUAAAGUUAAAAUUUCAUUUAAUCUUUCAUUCUAGUUUUUAAUUAAAAAACAAUUUAUUAUGCUACCUUUGUACAGUUAUGUAUACUGCAGCUAUUUAUAAAAUUGGUCAUUGGGCAGAUUGGACUUAAAA